AGAAGAAAGGACACGCUCGCAAGUCUGACCAGCUCUCCAGGCAGGCGGUCCUGAAAUCGCUGGCGGAAGGAGGGGUUCACCUCCAGGAGGGACAAGCUAGACACAUCUGCUGGCUGGGAUUGGUCUACAGUGUGACCUCUGACCCAAGGGGAGAAGCGUUCUGGAAUGUUGGAGCCUCGGGGUGUGUGUGGCUCUGGCCUGGGUGGUGUGAACGGAGGGCUUUUCUCCCAAGAACGUAGACCCCCCCUCAGCAGGUCAGUGAAUUUCAGGGGUGACUGCCCACCCAGGCGAUGCGGUUCAGAGGGGGUGCCUGCUCCAUUCCUGGGUGGCAGAGGCAGGCUCUCUCUCGGGGGCGGGGGCUGGGGACGACGACUCAGGUUACAGGGACUUGAUGGGACAGGCCCUGUCCUGACAUAGCUCAAGUCCUGGUGUGGACAGAGACCUCCGUUUUCCUGGGGUUGCCCUGGUGGCCAGAAGGUUGGGCCCUGUUGGGCCUUUAGUUCCAGGGGCCUCGCCUGGCUGGAGACAGGCUCAUCCUGUGGGCCAAGGCCCCUCCCGCAGCCUCUGCAGGAGACUGACUCCCAGGCCUGUGGGCACUGGCACCUGUAGCCCUGUCCCCUGCAAGGCCAGGGCAGGGUCAGGUUCCGGACAUUGUCCUCCUGCCCCCACACGGGCAGAGCAACCCCUCCCGGGGCCGGAUGGAGGCCCCACGCAAACCCUCUCCCUCACAAUGGCCGUCUCUCCUGAAAGGGUCACUUGAAGAACGCCAGGUGGCAGGCGCCAGACUUUGGCAUCCGAGGCGCUCCCGUGAGCUCCCUGGGACCAAAGCCGUCCUCUUUUGUCAGCGCUGAUGGGGAACAACUGCUGCUGCCCUUUAAUCAGGAGGGGACACGCCAAGCGACGGCCUCCUGCAGGGCAGCCUACCCGUGCACUACAUCGGCCCUGCGCUCUGUCACUCCCCGCAGACCGCGAGGGCCCGUGACGCCAAGGAGGAGCCCCCAGCCCCAGUCUGGCUCCUUCGAGGAGAACAGCCGCCCAGGGAAAACGCCAAUCAGCGUGGAUUCUUGGCAGCUGCUCAAUCUGGCAAAUUACUUCUUGCAAAUUACUUGUUAAGACUGAAAUCCGGGCAGGACUCUGCAAGUUCAGGGGCAUCUAUUAUCUGCUGGUUCCAGGCGCCCAGGCAUCUCUGUGGGCAGGGCGCUCGUCUGUGGGUGGGAGAUGUUUUGGAGACUGUGGCCGCUCGGAUCAGCUCGGCGCCUCCUCUUCUGCUUCUCCUGCCCUGAUGGAAGCUGGUUCUGGCCAAGGGGACACAGUUCCUGCCCCCUUCUCCUGCGUCCUAGGCACACUGGUGUCAGGCGUGAUGGGAGUGAUUCAAGCAUCAUUUCCCACCAUGGAAAGGGGCCUCAGGCCGCGUCCCAGGCCCUCCACAUCCCCAGGGGUGCCCAUCUGAGGCUGCGCAAGGGUACAGAGUGGGGUCAGGUGUGCAGGACCUGAUUGAGGAGGUCACACAGUGGGGCAGGGGGUGGGCACCAGGGCUGGAAGCUUGGAUGGCGACAUUGGGGCUCAGACAAGUCCCAGAAGACAGAGGGGAGAGGCAGGUCCCCUGUGCUGGGGCUGAGACCUGGGUCCCAGGGCGGCUGGGGCUGCUAAAGGCAGAAACCAGCAAGCCCGAGUGGCUUCACAGGGCGGCCCAGGUGGGUUCUGCUUCCCCAGAUCCACUGUCCUGGGAGGGGACCUGCCACCAGGGAAUCGGCUGGUCUCUGUCACUGUCUCCCUUUGGUUACUGUGACAACGAUGCUCAUAGCUGCAUCAUGGCCUGUCAGUGUUUCCUGCUCACGCCCUCUCCCCAUGCCUGCCCCGUGCUUGUUCUCUCUGCUCCUGGUUCUUGGUGUCUGAACAGCAAUGACAGCCCAGGCUCGACCAUAGCGGGUGGAGGGCGGCAGAGGGCAGGUUAAACGGGGAGAACAGGGGAUGGGCAGGCAGCAGGGGUUGAGUUGCCAGGCUGCUGCUGAAUUCCUUGCCUAUGUGAAAAUGUACACACAGGCUCUAGGAAAGUGGAUAUCCUGGAGCCAGCGGUGCUUGUUUUUCAAGUACACCCUCUGCAUGUCAGGUGGGACAUCCGGGUCUAGACCCAUUGCCUUUUUUGCUUUUUUUGCGACAGUCCCUUGUAGCAUGCUGGGCUUUUCCACCCCAUCAGUAACAGUGACAACGCAUACUUGGGUUCAGGCACCGUGCUAAGUGCGGUAAGUCACUUAAUCCUUACAGCAGCCCGUUGAGGUGGAUGCUAUGAUCUCUAUAGAUCAGGAAACAGGGACAGAGAGGUUAAUUAACUAGCUCAAGCUUUCACCUAGUUAGUGAGUGGCAGAGCUGGGAUUUGAACCCAGGCAGCCUGUUGCACCAGAGUCUCUGCUCUCUGCCAGGCAUUACAGGGGCUCUAAACAACGUCCUGCCGUGAUUGCAGGGGUUUUGGGGUGGGGGCAGCGAGAGGCCGUUUCUCCAGGGGUCCCGCAGGGCCUGCUCCUGCCUGGUUCCCGACCCCUCCCAACCUGCUCCUUCUUCAGGACUCAGGUCACAUGUCCCCUCCUCAUUCCCGGAGUCCCCAUCCAAGUCCGGCCGCCUGCGGCUCCGCCACUUCUGUCUGGUUAAGGUUCUCCCCAGCACACGUCCGUUCGCUGAAACUGCCUGCAGCGUUGCUUUGCUUUCUUGCUCAUCGUCUGUCUCCCGUGAUGAGGGCAGGGUCUGCAGGGCAGGCCUGGGAUCUCGGCUGCCUCCCCAGGGCCUGGCACCAAGCUGGCACAGGGUGUGGGCUCCCAGCGCCUGUGGGUGGAUUCCGUGCGGGGGAGAAAUCCCCAAGAUUGCCCGCCCCACCUGCUGGCUCGACAGGAGACAGGGUGGGGGUUGGGAGCUCCCAAAGCUGUGCCCUGUCCCCUGGCUGCACUGCCGUGUGGGCACACGUCAUGGCACAUGUGACCUGGGUCGUCAUGGAGCCUGUUGACCCUCCAGCAAGAACAAGGCUGUGUGUGCUCAGCCUCCAGAACCCAUUCUACGUGACGCCCUGAACCCACACACCACAGCCUGGGCCCCGCAGAGGGACCCUGGGGGCGGGGGCAUGUGGACAGGACCCCUCCCCACACCCUGCACGAGGGGAGAGAAUAUAAACAGGGGUGUGUGUUCACCACCCCCAGGCAGGAUGGUGUUCAAGUUUCCUGGGGUGUUUCUCUUCUGGAAGAAAUCCUAUGGUCCUUUUUGUCCCCCCCUUUUUGGCUCUUGUCUGAGGCGUGAUGAUGGGCCAUGGGCUGUGGCGGAAUCAGAACCUGGAAGAUUUGCUUCCUUUGUCACAUCCUGAGCUCAGCCCAGGCGGUGUCCUUAGGAGCUGACAGUCGAUGGCGUUAAAGAGAGGUGUCACAGUAGGAAGCUGUGCUCCCAGGAGGGGACGGGGGAGUCUGUGCCCAGGAAGUCUUGGCCCGGGGCGGGGGGGGGGGGUCUUUCCUAAAACCUGAGUUCUCUCUGCCUGAUGGUGGCUGGAACUGCAGAGACGCCUGGAGACAGGAGCGCCGUGGGACCCUCCUGGAUCAGAGUCUGGGCGGCUGGUCCCAGGCCUGGGGACCUCUGGGGAGUGUCCCCAAAGAAGCCUGCAGUUUCCUCAUCUUUGAGGCUCGAAGAAAGUUCCUGUCCUGCCCCCUCCCAGGCGUGUGGGGAAAUCAUUCAGGCUGACGGCCCUCAGGACAGUUGGCAGCGUGUGCGGAUGCCCUCCACCUGCAAAUUACUCCGGCAGAAAUCUGACGCUUCCAGCCCAGUUGUUUCUAGUCCGUGCUGCAAAGUUUCUUCUGUCACCAGUGCGGCCACACCAGGCUUUAUUAAACUCCAUCCUUUUUUCCGAUUGCCCUGGUUUUCCCCAAUGUCCUUUUCCUGUUCCACAGUUCAUCCGGGACACCAGAGUGUCUACACUGUGCGCUUCGAUCUUUUUUGUACAUGACCCAAUAUCAGAACACAUUUAAGUCAAGAUACACUCUGACAUAAUCUGAAACAAACUAUUAAGAACAUACGACUUAUGUGGGCCGAGGGGGACAGUCUCUGGUCGAUGUUUUCCAUUCCAUUCUAUUCUUUUGCAUUCCACUGUAUUCCACUUCAUCCCAUGUCAUUGUACUCCGGCAUAAAAAUACUCUUCAAGAUGUGAUAAAUGGAACUGACACAUGGAUCCGUUAGUCUUGCAGUUUAAAAACUCCUCCUGCCUAAGGACGCGCUCUCAGGGAGGGAACACUUUCUUUGUCUUCUGGACCCACUGUGAGCGCCUUGCACUAGGGGCCGGUGUCUUUAAUUCUUCCUUGGACCCUGACGCCCAGCCCUGUUCCUGCUACGAUGUUUCGUAAACGCUGCACUGCCUGGAUGCCUUGCUGCCUGGGUCCCCUUGUCUAUUCUCGCAUUUCUUCACAAUGGCCUAUUGCUGCAGGGCUGAAAGCUGAGUAGCAGGCACUUUCUUUGGAGAUGUGGCCGGUCAUUGAUGGAAUAGCUGCAGGCAGCAGAGCCCGCAGCUAACUGGUUUGGAAAGCCUGUCAAGAGCCUUGGCAGGCAGCGGUGCCAGGGGGGUGGGGCAUGUCCCUCUGCCCUUCUCCCAGGUUCCACGACAUUUUCAGGGUACGAUUUGCAUGCAGACCUAGCACUUGGAAACGGGUGGGGCGUUUUCAGUCGUUACGAUGUCUAGGGUAAAUAUCAAUGCCCUUCAAGCCUUGGGACGUCCCUUCCAACGAAUCGCCCUGUGCCAUGUGCCAGUGACGUCUCCUGUGGAGACACGUUGACCAAGACCGACUGAGAUUAGCAACAGAAACGGUGAUGGAGUCUCUGCUUCCGCCCUGUAAGCUUUCCUUCUUCCUACCUCUCAGUCAGUAAGCCUGACACCCAGGAGGCGGGUCCUGGGACAGCUGUGGGGGCGGGUGGGGGGGAGGCAUUUAGAGAAGAGCCUGGCCCUGGACAGCCAGGUUAGGCCUCAGGAGCCCCGAGUCCCGACAGAUCCAAGCUCCCAGGCCCUCGGUGGAUGGAAUGCGGGGGUGGGGGUGGGGAGCUCUAUUUACUGCGGGGAGAGGAAGCCACGCUCCUUUUGGGUAAAUCUGCUGCAGUCACACCCUGCACCCCGUUCCCCAUCGCUGCCCAGCCAUGAGGAGCACGUCUUGAUCCCUACACACACACACACGGGGCUGGGACUCUGGGCUGUCUGGAGCAUCGCCCUGGAACUGGGGGAACGAAACACUGUCCCUCUGCCCCCUUCUGAGAGCAGGUCCAUCUGCUUCUCCGCAGGUGUCCUCAGUCAGUCAAGCAUCCUGUGCCCAGUGGCUCAGGCCAGCAGCCUCGAGUACCUGCCCUCCGUCCCCUUUUUCUCCCACACCCAUCCUUUGGCUCGGCCAUGUCCAUGGCGCCGCCUCCGGGAGGUCCCUGGCUUGGUCCACCGGGCUCCGUCUCCCAGCUUCUCUGCAGCGCCAGCUGCCCUGGCCUCUUGGCUGCCUCACUGGCUCUGCCCUGCUUCUCCGGCUGUGCUCAGCAGCCAGAGGAUCUCGGAAGAGAGUAAGAGUCGCCUGGGUUCUCUGAUGCUCAAACCCCUUCUGUAGUUUCCCUCACAGGUACAUUGAAAUUCUUGACUCUGGUCUCUCUCUGCCCCUAUAAACUUUCCCCCCUUGGACACGCGUUUCCUUUCCCGCAUGGGGCUUUUGCAGUUGCUGCAUUCCCACCCCCGCCUGCCCUGCCUUCCCUGGUUCUUGGCCCUUCAAGCUCCUACUCAUCUUUGGGGUGCAGCUAAAGACACCUCCUCCGGGAGGCCUUCUGUGACUGCUUCGCCUACAGAGGUCUCUGUCCCUUCCUUACUGUGCAUCACACCACCCUAUUUAACCCUCUUCAUAGUGUAACCAAACCAGGUUCAUUUUGCCCAGCACACAGCAAGCCAAAAUACUGAAAUUUUGAUGUUGGCAGCAAAAAAAAAAAAAA